GCAUUGUAGAUGUUCGCUUCUGCUACUCGAUUUCCAUAAUGGAACAUCCAGUUUAGGUGGGCCAAACAGCCGUGUAUCUCUUCUAGAUGGAAAGGUGUGCAGAAGGGAUUUGUACCAAUUGACCGGGUAGCAAUUGAACAGGAAGAGGCGUAGUAAGGAUAAAAUAGUAGAAGAGCACUAGAGGAUGCUUGAAUGAAUUGUAAAGCGGGAUGAGAAGUGUCGCAAAAGAAUCAAUUCUGCUGGUAUCGAUUACGAGUGUCCAGCCCCUGUAAGUAACACUUGAUGUUGUUCAUUGAUUUAAUAAAUUGAUCUUACUUCAUCAGAUUUGAAUUAGCUCAGCAAUUUGCCACAUAAUUGUAAUUGUAUUAAGAAAAUUUCAACUUUUUGUUGACCUGGAGCAAAAGGCAUGCAAUUGUAGUGCCCUAGAGCCAAAUUUGCAUGUGUUAAUUUGUAGGUCCUUGAUUUUUAUAGUACUGGUUGUUUAUUCUUAUCUACAUCUGCUUACUGAAAUAAUUUAUGUAUUGGCACCAAGG